UGAGUAACUGGGAUUACAGGCACCCACCACCAUGCCCGGCUAAUUUUUGUAGUUUUAGUUGAGAUGGGGUUUCAUCAUGUUGGCCAGGCUGGUCUCGAACUCCUGACCUCAAGUGAUCCGCCCACCUGGGCCUCUCAAAGUGCUGGGAUUACAGGCAUGAGCCGCUGCGCCCAGGCACUUGUGCUUUGAUUAACAUUAUUUUCCUGUGAAACAAAUUAAAGUGAUCAAUGAGCUCCAGGGAUUCAUUUUUAAUUAAAUCAUGAAGCAGCUGGCAUUCAUGGCCUCUUGGCAGGUAGUCCAGCCUGGGCUUGCUGACUGGAGGAAUGAGAGUGGGGAACUUACCAGCUGUCUAAGCGUCUUGGUUCCAGAGUCUUACGCUGUCACCCAAGCUGGAGUGCAAUGGCACAAUCUCGGCUCACUGCAACCUCCACCUCCCGGGUUCAAGUGAUUCUCCUGCCUCAGCCCCCCGAGCAGCUGGGAUUACAAGCGUGUGCCACCACACCGGGCUAAUUUUUGUAUUUUUAGUAGAGACGGGGUUUCACCAUGUUGACCAGGCUGGUCUCGAACUCCUGACCUCAGGUGAUCCGACCGCCUUGGCCUCCCAAAGUACUGGGAUUACAGGCGUGAGCCACUGCGCCUGGCCCUUGUAAAUUCUUUACUAGCAAUGAGGAAAGAAAAAGCAAAAUCAGUCAACGAACAUUCGAGAUCCUGUCAUGUGUCAGACACUGUGCGGAGAGCUGGAGAUAAAACUGUCAACAAGAUGAAUGCAGCCUCUAAAAUAAAGAGUUUCUAAUCCA
rnacentral:lncRNA from 1 species